GUCUGAGGGGUAAAAGAGGAGCAGGGAGCGAAGCGUUUGCACUGCGCCUCUUACGUCUCCAGCUGUGAGCAAGCAUGAAAACGGAAUGCACCAAUAUUUAGGAGUAGUCCAGGAAGUUGUACGGGUUGCGGGAGCCGAACUCGUACUCGAUGUCCGUGGAAACGGGAAGCUGUCCUACAUAGCUGACCGAACGUCCCAUGCAGAACCUCAAGCACUCCGCCUUCUUCUGCACCCAGUCCAGGGCCCAGAGGUCCCAUAGGCUCCCGUCUUCGCUGUCUGACAAUGCAGGGACAGACAGAAGCAGAAAGACCAGAAGGCAAAAUACCGUACUUGCCUAGUUUUCGGAGUGCACCUCCUCCCGCCGCUCCGCACUCCUCAAAACACUGCCUUCGGAUUUGGAACAGAGCCUC